rnacentral:rRNA from 1 species
AUGAACGCUGGCGGCGUGCCUAAUACAUGCAAGUCGAGCGAACGGACGAGAAGCUUGCUUCUCUGAUGUUAGCGGCGGACGGGUGAGUAACCCGUGGAUAACCUACCUAUAAGACUGGGAUAACUUCGGGAAACCGGAGCUAAUACCGGAAAAUAUUUUGAACCGCAUGGUUCAAAAGGGAAAGACGGUCUUGCUGUCACUUAUAGAUGGAUCCGCGCUGCAUUAGCUAGUUGGUAAGGUAACGGCUUACCAAGGCAACGAUGCGUAGCCGACCUGAGAGGGUGAUCGGCCACACUGGAACUGAGACACGGUCCAGACUCCUACGGGAGGCAGCAGUAGGGAAUCUUCCGCAAUGGGCGAAAGCCUGACGGAGCAACGCCGCGUGAGUGAUGAAGGUCUUCGGAUCGUAAAACUCUGUUAUUAGGGAAGAACAUAUGUGUAAGUAACUGUGCACAUCUUGACGGUACCUAAUCAGAAAGCCACGGCUAACUACGUG